UACGAAGGGGGCUAGCGUUGUUCGGAAUUACUGGGCGUAAAGCGCGCGCAGGCGGUUCUUUAAGUCAGGGGUGAAAGCCCAGAGCUCAACUCUGGAAUUGCCUUUGAAACUAGAGAACUUGGGUACGGGAGAGGUGAGUGGAAUUCCGAGUGUAGAGGUGAAAUUCGUAGAUAUCAGGAGGAACACCGAUGGCGAAGGCAGCUCGCUGGGACGGUACUGACGCUGAGACGCGAAAGCGUGGGGAGCAAACAGG
rnacentral:rRNA from 1 species